rnacentral:rRNA from 1 species
UACAGAGGGUGCGAGCGUUAAUCGGAAUUACUGGGCGUAAAGCGUGCGCAGGCGGUUAUGCAAGACAGAUGUGAAAUCCCCGGGCUCAACCUGGGAACUGCAUUUGUGACUGCAUGGCUGGAGUGCGGCAGAGGGGGAUGGAAUUCCGCGUGUAGCAGUGAAAUGCGUAGAUAUGCGGAGGAACACCGAUGGCGAAGGCAAUCCCCUGGGCCUGCACUGACGCUCAUGCACGAAAGCGUGGGGAGCAAACAGG